rnacentral:lncRNA from 1 species
CUGUACUGCAGAUGCACACAGACACACAGAUCCAGCUGCAGGAGCCUGAACAAUAAAGAUAAACAAUAAGGAGUUUAUACUGUAUCACAGUCAUGAGCUGCUUCUUCAGACCAGUGUGACGGGGAGGACGGGGCUGGAGAACUAUAGUGGGCUAUACUGUAUAUUCUCUAGUUUAAAAAGAAAUCUAAUGACAUGGUAAAAAAGCGACUUUCUAAAACAGAAGUAUGCUCAUUUAUCGGUGACGUGAGCUGAGAACAAAACUGCUGAUGUGAUUUUCCCCUCAAUCACAUCUUUGUAGCCUUUCUGGACCUUGAAGGUACUCCAGUGUUAUGCCACUGAGUCAAAAGACAAAUUUAAAGCAGACCGCUGCAUUCUUCUAGUACGUCUGGACUAAAUCUUCUUCUACUUGGUUUGUUUUUCUCCUGGCGAGAGAAUGAGGAUUCUUCAUGUUCUCACUUUUUGCUGCUUGUCAGCCGUGUGCGCGGGGGUCUCGGCCGUGCUUGAGGUGAGAGGCCAUGUUGGAGGAGAGGUCUCUGUCCACUGCUCUGGCGGCUGGACCACCGACAACGACUCCGAACACUUCAACAUGUACUUCUGCAAAGGAGACUGCUCCAGGGAAAACACCCUCAUUCAGACUGAGAGGAAGGCCUCGGCCAUCACAAGACGAGGGAGAUACAGCAUGGAGGUCAGCAGAGGAGAUGUAGCCUUCAAUGUGACCAUAAAUAGGCUGAGGAGGGCGGACACAGGGAGAUAUCACUGUGGUGUGGGCAAAGGCUUUAAUCUGUUGUACCAGGAGGUCAUUCUCAUAGUGCUAAAUGCGUCCACUGUUCCUCCUGGAUCUCCUCCCUCCACCACCACCACCCUGUGGACUGAAGCAGAAUCUCUGCCCCAGAGCAGCUUUCAACCCAGAACUGAACCGUCCCCAGCAGCAUUAACCCUGCCCGCUGCACAGGAGAAGACAAACCAGCGAGCAGCAACCAAACUCAAAGACACCACGGUGGUCAUCAUCGUCUCGGUGAGCCUGGCUCUUCUGGUUUGUGCGAUUAUACCUCUGAUAUUCUACAGACACUUCCGGAGUAACCCUGAACAUCAGAACCAUCCUGAAACAAACAAGGGCGAGGUGAGUGACCAUUCUGUCAUUGUCUUUUUAUAUUCAGUUUAAAAUGUCUUCUGCGAAUGACUUUCAAAAGAAUAACUGCCCAGAUAAAUUCCUUUUUUACAGGCGGAUUGCUCUGAGGGAAAUGCAGAUGUUGCCUCCACUCAGGCUGCAGUAGGCCUGCAGUCUUUACAGCCAGAUGCUGAUCCAGAGUCCGGUGCUCAGGAUGACGCCCAGUAUGCUGACACCUACCAGGCACUCAGUCACAAGAGUCUGGACUGAACAGGGUUUCCUUUGUUUCUGAGCUGAAAUCUGACCUCAAACUCUUCACUGUACUGACUAUAUGAUUUUAUUUUCAGGGUCAAAUAUAUACUAUUCCUUUACAAUUUGUAUGUUUGUACGAGACUAAAUGGAAGAAUAGGAAUGAGAGCAGGAAGGUUUUAGCAUGUUAAGGAAGCCUCAGUUAGACACAUCUGGUUCUGCGUGAUGAAAGUGAAGGUGUGUGCAGGUAGAUUUGCAGGAUUUAAAGUGAAACUCUCGCCAAAAUGCAACCUUUUUGUGAAUGUACCCGAGUCAAACCUUCAUGUAAAAGCAUAAUUACAACGAAAGCGCCACUUUUAAGAUUUACCGUAUUUUUGUUUACGGGUCAAACUCAUUUUCAAUGGAGUGCUACGGGCAUUUAUAUGAUAGCAUCAAAAUCGCUAUUUUUAAAACACUAAGAAGGCUCGACACAACAUGAAACUUUGCUAGUAGUAUCACGAGGGUCUCUACACAUGAACACGAGCAUUGAGAACAUUGUUUGUGUAUACAGAGUAAGGUUUUUGACUCAGGUACAUUCACAAAAAGACCCUAGGUUGCAUUUUGGCAAGAGUUUCACUUUAACUACGAUGUGGUCGUACAGGUAUGCAAGAAAAUUAGAUCAUGAAUGACGAAGGAAAUAUAACUCACAUUGUAAUUUGUACUUUCUUUUUAUGUAUGAAUUCAGUUUGUCAUAAUCAAACAGAAAACAUAUUUGACCUUUAGUGAUAUUUAUUUUAGGCUUUGUCUUUAGAAAAUUGAAAUAGUUUCGGAGAUAAAGUUCAAGAUCUGGAUAUCAGUGAGGUUAUAAUACAAAGAAGUAUUUAUCUUUUCCCUAACUGAAUAAACCUGCUGUUCUCAGAGGAAAAUAAGGUCCCUGUUUGAAGCUAGAAAGGUGGCAGGGUCCGCCAAAUAUAAACCAAGAAAAACAGUAUGAAAUUGUGAUGUCCUUUACGGUCAGUUUGUUUAUUCAGUUUAUUCAGCCCUGAAAACAAAGAGAGUUUGUUUAUUUGGUUGGUUUAUAUAAAAAUCAGUCAGUGAAGAUCUAUCUCUUCUGAUCAAAAUGCAUGCAUAGUACGCCUUUCAGUAUGUUCGAUAUGUUACAUUUGUACAUUUAGUUUCUUAUGGAUAUGUUAACAUUUUUGAUGUAACAAUUACCUUUCAGUUUUCAAUUCUAUGUUGUGACAACGCUGUGCUAAAGGUCUUCUUAGGUUUAGGCACAAAAACAGCGUAAUUAGUCAGGAGUCAGGAUCAUGUGAUAAAAGAUCAUGUUUGGACCUAAAAUACCUGGUUUUCCUGUCAUUGUGACACAGUAAAAGCAUAAAAAAAG